rnacentral:rRNA from 1 species
GACGAACGCUGGCGGCGUGCUUAACACAUGCAAGUCGAACGAUGAAGCUGGAGCUUGCUCCAGUGGAUUAGUGGCGAACGGGUGAGUAACACGUGAGCAAUCUGCCCUUGACUCUGGGAUAACUGCGGGAAACUGUAGCUAAUACCGGAUACGACACCUUGGGGCAUCCCGGGGUGUGGAAAGAAUUUCGGUCAAGGAUGAGCUCGCGGCCUAUCAGCUUGUUGGUGAGGUAAAGGCUCACCAAGGCGACGACGGGUAGCCGGCCUGAGAGGGUGACCGGCCACACUGGAACUGAGACACGGUCCAGACUCCUACGGGAGGCAGCAGUGGGGAAUAUUGCACAAUGGGCGAAAGCCUGAUGCAGCAACGCCGCGUGAGGGAUGACGGCCUUCGGGUCGUAAACCUCUUUUAGCAGGGAAGAAGCGAAAGUGACGGUACCUGCAGAAAAAGCACCGGCUAACUACGUGCCAGCAGCCGCAGUAA